rnacentral:rRNA from 1 species
CGAGAAUAUUUGGCAAUGGGCGAAAGCCUGACCAUGCGACGCCGCGUGCUGGACGAAGUCCUUCGGGACGUAAACAGCUUUUACGCGUGAAGAAGUUAUUGACAUUAGCGCGUGAAUAAGGGGCUCCUAACUCUGUGCCAGCAGGAGCGGUAAUACAGAGGCCCCAAGCAUUACCCGGAAUCACUGGGCGUAAAGGGUGUGUAGGCGGUCGUAUUAGUCUUCCGUGAAAGCACUUGGACUCAAUCCAGGUAACGCGGGAGAAACGGUACGACUGAGAGGAUGCGAGAGGUAUAGGGAACUCAUGGUGUAGGGGUGAAAUCCGUUGAUAUCAUGGGGAACACCAAAAGCGAAGGCACUAUACUGGCGCACUCCUGACGCUGAAACACGAAAGCGUGGGAAUCGAACG